UACGUAGGGGGCAAGCGUUGUCCGGAUUUAUUGGGCGUAAAGAGCGUGUAGGCGGCUAGAUAGGUCCGUUGUGAAAACUCGAGGCUCAACCUCGAGACGUCGAUGGAAACCAUCUGGCUAGAGUCCGGAAGAGGAGAGUGGAAUUCCUGGUGUAGCGGUGAAAUGCGCAGAUAUCUGGAGGAACACCGGUGGCGAAGGCGGCGUCCUGGACCAACACUGACACUGAGGAGCGAAAGCGUGGGGAGCAAACAGG
rnacentral:rRNA from 1 species